rnacentral:lncRNA from 1 species
UCAAAUAUAAUCUUAAAUCAAUCCUAAUUCUAUCUUAUUCAUUCAAAUGUGACGUCAUUUUUCAUUUUUUGAUGAUCCGUUUUCAAAUUUCAUAAAUUCAAAUGUGACGUAAUUUUUGUGCUUUUUCGCCAUCGUAUGUGACGUCAUUAUUAUGAUUUAUUGCGUUGAAGCCUGGACUGAGUCGGGUGUGUCUAUUGUGUUGGUCUUUGCAUUAUGUAUUCGUGUUUGUUUUCUGUAAUUAGUUAAUACUUCAGUUUCAUUAUGUAUAUCUAUUAUAUUCAUUUAAUAAAAUUUACUGUUUGCAAUAGCAUUAAUUGUUCUAAAUGAUAAGGAUGUUCUUAUCCCAAGCUUAAAAACAUAGCCGUAUUUGACACAACCUUUUUCAACUUUUGAUCUUCAGUGCUGU